rnacentral:lncRNA from 1 species
AUGGUUUCGGUUUCAUCCUCUCCGCCUCGUCGGAUCGUCGUGCCUGCACCAACCUGCCCAGCUCCAUGGUUAUUUCCCUGGGAGGAUUUCCUGCUCUCACGCGGUCCUCAGCCUCCAGUUCAGCCGCGCGCUGCUCAGCCUCCCGUUCAGCCGCGCGCUGCUCAGCCUCCAAGUCAGCCGCGCGCUGCUCAGUCUCCAGUUCAGCCGCGCGCUGCUCAGUCUCCAGUUCAGCCGCGCGCUGCUCAGCCUCCAAGUCAGCCGCGCGCUGCUCAGUUUCCAGUUCAGCCGCGCGCUGCUCAGUCUCCAGAUCAGCCGCGCGCUGCUCAGUCUCCAGUUCAGCCGCGCGCUGUUCAAUCUCCAGCUCAAUCGUGCUUUGCCCAGUCUCCAGCUCAAUCGUGUUUUGCCCAGUCUCCUGCUCAAUCGUGUUUUCCCCAGUCUCCAGCCCAAGCUCCAGACGCCGCGGCCCCGUUUCACCAUGCGGAUCCCGGUACAGAGGUCCGGUCCACACCGCGCCCAGCGCCUCAAACGACGGACAGUCGCAGCUGCUCCGGACGGCGACGGCGGCGGCGCGGGUCCAGGAUCCCGGGUCCCGCGGUCUCGGUCAUGGGGACCGAGCAGCCUUCUUCCCCGACAGAGGAGCCCCUUAAUUCUCUGACUGACUGUGUCCCUCUGAUAACAGGCAUCCCAGACAGCGUCGCCCGACGGGUCCACCUCCUCUGCUCUCCUCCAGUUGCCUUUCUCUUCGCCCACCUCAUGAACACCGCCAAUUCGGCUACAGACCAGGGCGCGAGAGAACAACUGUUCGAGGAAGCAGCCGCUCUCGUCCGGAGGGAGCCUGUCCUGCGUGAGGCCCUGCAACUCCCGGGCCUGCAGCCAGCGGUCGCUUCAUGCCCCACCUCUCAGUCAGGUCAGCCGUGUGUUACUCAUGCCCCGGUGCAGCCCUGUCGUCUCCAGGUCCCAGCCCAGUCGAACCUAGUCCAGACCCCAGAUCAGCCGUGUGUUGCCCAGACCCCAGAUCAGCCGUGUGUUGCCCAGACCCCAGAUCAGCCGUGUGUUGCCCAGACCCCAGAUCAGCCGUGUGUUGCCCAGACCCCAGAUCAGCCGUGUGUUGCCCAGACCCCAGAUCAGUCGUGUGUUGCCCUGACCCCAGUUCCGUCCUUGUCCCCGUCAGAGGGCGCCGUCCGUCUGACGACUGUUAACCCCACCCAAUCAGGCCCGACGUCUCCCCCGUCGAGCUCGGCAGCCGUAAGCUGUCAUGCCAGCUCCGGAGGGGACGCCGCUCCAGUCCCUGUCGGCCAUGUUGCGGCCGUUCUAGUUCCUGUCGGCUCCUCAGAGGAGGACGCCGUCCCUGUUCCCGUCGGCCAUAUUGAGGCCGUUCUAGUUCCAGUUCCUGUCGGCUCCUCAGAGGAGGACGCCGUUCUAGUUCCUGUCGGCCAAGUAGAGGUCGUUCCAGUUCCUGUCGAUCCGUUAAAGGUCGUUCCUGUCCCUGUCGGCCAUGUUGAGGUCGUUCCAGUUCCUGUCGGCCAUGUUGAGGUCGUUCCAGUUCCUGUCGGCCAUGUUGAGGUCGUUCCAGUUCCUGUCGGCCAUGUUGAGGUCGUUCCAGUUCCUGUCGGCCAUGUUGAGGUCGUUCCAGUUCCUGUCGGCCAUGUCGAGGUCGUUCCAGUUCCUGCCGACCAAAUUGAGGUCGUUCCAGUCCCUGUCCCUGCCGACCAAAUUGAGGUCGUUCCAGUUCCUGUUCCUGUAGGCCAAGUAGAGGACGUUCCCGUAGGCCAAGUAGAGGGCGUUCCCGUAGGCCGAGUAGAGGGCGUUCCCGUAGGCCAAGUAGAGGGCGUUCCCGUAGGCCGAGUAGAGGGCGUUCCCGUAGGCCAAGUAGAGGUCACCCCUGUCUCUGACCCCGUUCCUGUCGACCCUGUAGCGGUCGUUCCAGUCCCCGUUCCUGUCGACCCUGUAGCGGUCGUUCCAGUCCCCGUUCCUGUCGACCCUGUAGCGGUCGUUCCAGUCCCCGUUCCUGUCGACCCUGUAGCGGUCGUUCCAGUCCCCGUUCCUGUCGACCCUGUAGCGGUCAUUCCAGUCCCCGUUCCUGUCGGCCCUGUAGCGGUCGUUCCAGUCCCCGUUCCUGUCGACCCUGUAGCGGUCGUUCCAGUCCCCGUUCCUGUCGACCCUGUAGCGGUCGUUCCAGUCCCCGUUCCUGUCGGCCCUGUAGCGGUCGUUCCAGUCCCCGUCACCCGUGGAGCCGCAGCGCCCGCCGGUCCCCAGGAGGAGGUCGCGCUAGCCGUAGUUCCUGCGCACCUCCAGGAGGAGGUCGCGCCAGUCGCAGUUCCUGCGCACCUCCAGGAGGAGGUCGCGCCAGUCGCAGUUCCUGCGCACCUCCAGGAGGAGGUCGCGCUAGCCGCAGUUCCUGCGCACCUCCAGGAGGAGGUCGCGCUAGCCGCAGUUCCUGCGCACCUCCAGGAGGAGGUCGCGCUAGCCGCAGUUCCUGCGCACCUCCAGGAGGAGGUCGCGCUAGCCGCAGUUCCUGCGCACCUCCAGGAGGAGGUCGCGCUAGCCGCAGUUCCUGCGCACCUCCAGGAGGAGGUCGCGCUAGUCGCAGUUCCUGCGCACCUCCAGGAGGAGGUCGCGCCAGUCGCAGUUCCUGCGCACCUCCAGGAGGAGGUCGCGCCAGUCGCAGUUCCUGCGCACCUCCAGGAGGAGGUUGCGCCAGUCGCAGUUCCUGCG